UACGUAGGGUGCAGGCGUUAAUCGGAAUUACUGGGCGUAAAGCGUGCGCAGGCGGUUUGCUAAGACAGGUGUGAAAUCCCCGGGCUUAACCUGGGAACUGCGCUUGUAACUGGCAAGCUUGAGUGUGGCAGAGGGGGGUGGAAUUCCGCGUGUAGCAGUGAAAUGCGUAGAUAUCAGGAGGAAUACCGAUGGCGAAGGCAGGUCUCUGGGCUGACACUGACGCUCAUGCACGAAAGCGUGGGGAGCGAACUGG
rnacentral:rRNA from 1 species